AUAAAUAAAAAUAAAUAAAUAAAUAAAAUAUCAUUAAAUCAGUAAUUAUUUACUAAAAGGUAUCCAUUCAAGUAAUUUUUCCUUCAAACUUCACCUUAAAUGCCAAAUUCCACGUGUUAUUAGAAAAGAUAGCUAGCCACUUGUCAUCCUUGCUCAAAUCUGUCCAACAAAUAAGAACGUUAAAUUUGUUAUAAGUUCAAAUCAACAUUUAAAUACGAAAUACAUAUCAAUAAUACUCCCUCUGCCCCAAUUUGUGUUACAUUUUUCGAUUUUUGAGAGUCAAAUAGUUUAAGUUUCACGGGAAUUUGUGUAUGAAAUCAUAUUUUUUGAAAUGAAAUUUAUAUAUUUAUAAAUUAUUUAAAAAGUACUAUAAGUCACAAUAAUUGACAAUUCAAAAUAUAUGAAAAUUUUACAGUCAAGAUAAACUUGUUUAAAUCGGCAAGAGUACAAGACAAGAAUUCGAUUAUCGAUGCUCAAUCCGCUAAUAAUUUUUUUUCCCUCCUUAGGAGCUCCCAUCCCUUUUGCUCCCUUGGUGACUCAAACUCGCAACCUUCGGGUUGGAAGUGAGGGGUGCUUACCAUCCAAGCAACUCCCUCUCGUCAAACUCAAUCCGCUAAUAAACCCCUUCUUUGAACAAAAUGUAUACCACUAACUUCCAAAUACACAGGAAUUUCUUAAAUACAUACACAUAUAGAGCUACUCAAGUUCACAUAUCGUAGAUUUUAUACACAGUAUACAAUGUGAUUCACUAUAUUUAUCAGCUAAUUAAGUAUAAAUUUUAACAUAUAGAAGACACUAAGAAUCAAAGAAAAAUAGCACAAUUGUUUAAUUUAUUUAUGUUAACAGUUCUUUUUUUAAAUGAACAUAUGUAACUGAAUUUAAAAUAAAUAUUCAUAGUAUAGAAUUAUUUUCCUAUUUAAGGAGGAAUUAAUAUUCUAUAUUUCUUUCAAGUGAUAUAAUCCUUUCCAAUCCUCCCAUUGGCUAAUCAAGUGUCUUUAAUUCCCAGAUAUUAAUUAUAUUUAAUAUUUCGUCACUCUUGAGUUAUUUAAAAGUUUUUUUUUAAUAUAUAAAGAAAAACAAAACAAAUUUUAAUUUAUUCCUUGAUCAAAUAGAAAAGACCCAAAAUAGAUACUUCAAGAUAUAAUUUUCCUCACAUAAUUCUUUUUAAAACAAAGUAUGUUCCUAUACUAAUAAGACAAAACAUCUCAAAAUCACCUACCAACAAAUAAAAAUAUGUUUACUUCAUCGAAAUGACUUCUUUAACAAAGAAAUUGUGUCUCAUUGAUUGAUUAAAGAGAGAAAAGUCAUUAUUAUACUUGCAUGUAUAGAGAAGUACUGCUAGCUCCUAAAAAGUUGAGAAGAAAUUAAGACAAAUUUUGUGUUGUGGUACGCUCGACUUCUACUUUGAUCAAAUGAUUUGAUUGAUAAAAACUUCUACUUAAUUUUUGAGAAUUAAAUUACUUUAAGAAUCCACAGUAAACUCUGUUCUAACUUCUACUUAACAUAAUCAAAGAAAAAUAGAAAGAAAGUAAUGCUUAAAAUUACAAACUAAUUUGGAAAACAGAUCAUCUAAAUGUAAAUGAAAUAAAAUAAACAUGUAUAAUAAUUGUCCUUUAUUAUGGAUAAUAUUAUCAAAGAGGUUCGAAAGAGAGGAAACACAUAAUAUCGAAAACUAGCUAAGUACGUACUUUAAGAAUUAAAAUAAUUUAUCUCCAAACUCAAAAUGUUUGAUUUGUUUCAGAAAACUUCAAGUUCAAUGAUAUAUUGUUUAAAACGUGAAAGAACAACAUCGAUAUAUAUUAUUUGAAAGCAUCCACAUAUAUACUACUAAUAUCUAUGAGGGAAUAAAUUAAAUAAUAAAACGUACUAUGCUAGAAAUGGAAUUAUAGAAAUUAUGUUGCAAAUGCAUGCAUGUUUUGUUUAUAAUACCAAAAAGAUGUCAAUUAUAUAUAUUCCCAUGCACAUUUAACGUACCAUGCUUAAUACUAGCUAGCUAGCUAGUACUAGAAGAACCAAUGCAUGCAUCCUUUGCAGAAUUUAUCAAUUGUUGGAUCAUAUCAUGACUACUCUAUUUUCC
rnacentral:lncRNA from 1 species